AGAGUUUGAUCAUGGCUCAAAUUGAACGCUGGCGGCAUGCUUUACACAUGCAAGUCGAACGGCAGCGCGGGGGCAACCCUGGCGGCGAGUGGCGAACGGGUGAGUAAUAUAUCGGAACGUACCCAAGAGUGGGGGAUAACGUAGCGAAAGUUACGCUAAUACCGCAUACGAUCUCAGGAUGAAAGCAGGGGACCGCAAGGCCUUGUGCUCCUGGAGCGGCCGAUAUCUGAUUAGCUAGUUGGUGAGGUAAAGGCUCACCAAGGCGACGAUCAGUAGCUGGUCUGAGAGGACGACCAGCCACACUGGAACUGAGACACGGUCCAGACUCCUACGGGAGGCAGCAGUGGGGAAUUUUGGACAAUGGGCGCAAGCCUGAUCCAGCAAUGCCGCGUGAGUGAAGAAGGCCUUCGGGUUGUAAAGCUCUUUUGUCAGGGAAGAAACGGCUGCGGCUAAUAUCCGCGGCUAAUGACGGUACCUGAAGAAUAAGCACCGGCUAACUACGUGCCAGCAGCCGCGGUAAUACGUAGGGUGCAAGCGUUAAUCGGAAUUACUGGGCGUAAAGCGUGCGCAGGCGGUUUUGUAAGUCUGUCGUGAAAUCCCCGGGCUUAACCUGGGAAUUGCGAUGGAGACUGCAAGGCUGGAGUCUGGCAGAGGGGGGUAGAAUUCCACGUGUAGCAGUGAAAUGCGUAGAGAUGUGGAGGAACACCGAUGGCGAAGGCAGCCCCCUGGGUCAAGACUGACGCUCAUGCACGAAAGCGUGGGGAGCAAACAGGAUUAGAUACCCUGGUAGUCCACGCCCUAAACGAUGUCUACUAGUUGUCGGGGUUUUAAUUAACUUG
rnacentral:rRNA from 1 species